CUCUUCAUUAUUGGAGAAGUUGUUCUAGGGUGCAUGCAUUAUCCAUUGUACUUUGUCGACGUCAUAAACAAGCGCAACUCCGUUGCAUCUGAGUCUACGCCGGCCUCGGUACAGUAGAUCGCGCAAGUAUGAUGGCUGAGAAAUUUUGCAGUUAAAAAAAAAGUAGAUUCGAUUGUGGAUGCAAGAACGCAGUUUCAUGAAGAAUUAUUGCUUCACUGUUUGUGUCGGUACUAAAGAACGGAUUCACAUAUUAGAAGCCUGCCUUGUAAUGCCUUCACUAGUGACUUCAGCACCGGUAUGGUGGGUGAUGCUGCGUCCCCUUCCGAGCAAGUGAGAAACCGUCGCCUAUGCGUCCAGCUGGCUACCCUGAACCAGGACUGAAAGGGCGCAGUUUAUCCCGUCAACGCAAGAACACGUUACGGUUGCCUGAAAGGCGCCAUAUGCUUGGAAUUGGGAUCGUUAUCGGUGUCGUCACAACCAUUCUAAGCAAUUAUGCGGUUGCCUUUAAACCUGCAGGCAAAACUGAAGAAUGGAUUUACAGAAAUAAAAAAGGCGGUUGGGAUCAUAUGGAACUUUGCUUCUGGGCCAAGACCAAAUGGAAUUGCAAUAUGGUUCGCCAAGGCACCUGCCCACCAACGAAUGCACGUGCCCCUUAUUGCUCUGAGACUGACUACCUCGAUUGCACUGAGUGGAUUCUCCGAUCAGGCUUUCGUUUCUGCAGCUGCCACUGCGGAAUCGAACCACCGUUGAUGGUCCCUACAAUAAGGCAAGGUCCGGGAAACCAUUCAAACCAAGGGGCCACACCGGCGCCCAGCAAGACAAAUAUAUCGAAACCUGCGAGAAAUAAGCAUCACUAAGGUUAUUGUACCCGCGCCAGAAAAAUCGCCGCACGUGUUCUGGGAGCGAAGCAGCAGAUGAAGGGGACAACGAUGAAGAAGAGAACGAAGAAACGAAGAAAGCGCGUGCCGGCUCCUGAUGAUUAUCACUUCUGCUUCCAACUGACAAAUUACGGAGACCAUAAACAGCUCCGCUGUUAUUAUUGAUCCAGAAUUUAUGUUCUUACGCUUCUUGACCUUAUUAUUACGUGCAUUGUCAUUUGGCACACUAUUUCAGUUGAACAUUUUCUGUAUAUGCUUGUCGAUUGCUGAUGUUUGCUUAUUGAUAUUUUAUAAAU